rnacentral:lncRNA from 1 species
GAGGCUCUCAAAUAUUGGUGAAACAAGAGGAAGGUGAGAGGUCUUAUAGAACUGAAUAGGAUUCUUUUUAUAGAACUGUUAUCUAUGGUAUGAUGCUUGGUUCAAAAAUAAAAAGGGCUAGAAUGGGAGAAAGGGUCAUCAGUGUGAACUAAAAGUCUAUUGUUUUUCUUCUGGGUAUGCUUUGCAUUUUAUUGUCAUGUUUCAUGCUUCAUAGCGUGUGUAUGUGCAUAUAAUUACACACAUAUACACUAGUUUGUAAUGUCACUAUAAAUAGAUGAUUCAUCAGACCAUCAGAGUUUGCAUCAGACUAUAAUCGAUGAUGCAUCAAAUCGAAAGGAGGAUCAUCUGCUACAUCAGGCAUUUACAUGAUAGCUUGUUUCUAUGUGUACUGUGUAAUAUGAAGUAAAAAAAGUGUAGUUUGAUUCAGUGGCAUGCUUUACCAUUGAAUGAUCUUGAGCAACAUUGCACCAGCACGUGUCUGGGGUGGAAAAGGUCGGGAAAACUAUCCCAGAGUCCAGCCUGAACUUAUAUUCAAAGCAAUGGGUGUUGAGCCUGAUAUUAUGUUUGCUGGACAACUCGAAUCUAAAAGUGCAGGUCAAGAAACACCAGAACUAUUUAAUGUUUCUAUAUUUUUUAUUUACUCUGUCGUUUGUUUAUGUUUCCAGAUUACUGUCGAGAUGUAGCUCGUUUGGUUCAUAUAAAUCUUAUUCCAAGCCUUUAUAUAGUUGUUUUAGGUCUAAUAUUUCACAGCAUUUCGAAGCCAUUAAAGUUAUCAUUGACUUACACUGCACUGAACAUAUAAAAGUUAUCUUUUAUUUCACUCAAGUUUAACCUCAAGCCUAAGACUUAUUGGUCGAUAAGCACUGCUAAUGUUCAGAUUGAAAACAAAGCCCUAGAUCAGUGACAGAGUAACUAUCUGGUGCUUCAACCCAUCCAGAGAUGAAUUCUGCACCCGAGUUUCUUCCUUCUUGUUGAAAAAAGUUAAGGGGCCCCUCCUCAUGUUGUGUUGAUUUAUAGUGUCCAGAUUGGUUAAGUUCCACCUUGCUCGAUGAAAGAUCUGCUUAUAGUACUUGAGAAAGGAAUUAUCAGUUCCUAAAUUCGGCUCGAGAGUCAAGUUAUUAUUAUGUUCUAUCAGAUCUAGUCCAUUAACAAAAUAGGAGUUGCUUCCUCUUUUGCAUUUAUGAUAAUUAGCGGAGUUGCAUGGUCUCACAAUGUUUAUGUGGUGGUUAGUUGCUCGGGCUUUUUUCUUGUAUUUCAAUACUAGAAAAUAGAAGAGGCUAUCAAUGUCAGCACAAAGCUGUUGGGCUAUAGCAAUGUAACUAAUCAAGUUUCACAACGGCCUGUUGGUUCUCAAUCGUUGUAGUUCAGAGCUGUAUGUUUAGUUUAAACUCGAGCUAACUCUGGCCGAUGUAGAUGGUUUCCAAUAUAAUGCUACAUAAUUUCCCCUUUUGUAUUCGUCACCCUUGUUUGGCACUACUUUUUUUAUCAGCAUAUGCAAACUUUCAUGUAACAUGCAAACUCUCAUGGAUCUGUACGUGUGUUUGUAAGAACUUGAAUGCUGGUUUGAUGAUUUAUUUUCUACGAAGUUGGGCAUAUAUUCAUGGCUGUUUCUUGAUAACAUUGCAUGUAACUGGGUUUCUUCAUUGCACUUAAAUAAGUCUGUUUUUAGCUUUGGCCUAUAUGCUGCCUAAUUAAACUUGAAAAUUAGAGAGAAACAAGAAAGAUCUGCUUAUAGUACUUGAGAAAGGAAUUAUCAGUUCCUAAAUUCGGCUCGAGAGUCAAGUUAUUAUUAUGUUCUAUCAGAUCUAGUCCAUUAACAAAAUAGGAGUUGCUUCCUCUUUUGCAUUUAUGAUAAUUAGCGGAGUUGCAUGGUCUCACAAUGUUUAUGUGGUGGUUAGUUGCUCGGGCUUUUUUCUUGUAUUUCAAUACUAGAAAAUAGAAGAGGCUAUCAAUGUCAGCACAAAGCUGUUGGGCUGUAGCAAUGUAACUAAUCAAGUUUCACAACGGCCUGUUGGUUCUCAAUCGUUGUAGUUCAGAGCUGUAUGUUUAGUUUAAACUCGAGCUAACUCUGGCCGAUGUAGAUGGUUUCCAAUAUAAUGCUACAUAAUUUCCCCUUUUGUAUUCGUCACCCUUGUUUGGCACUACUUUUUUUAUCAGCAUAUGCAAACUUUCAUGUAACAUGCAAACUCUCAUGGAUCUGUACGUGUGUUUGUAAGAACUUGAAUGCUGGUUUGAUGAUUUAUUUUCUACGAAGUUGGGCAUAUAUUCAUGGCUGUUUCUUGAUAACAUUGCAUGUAACUGGGUUUCUUCAUUGCACUUAAAUAAGUCUGUUUUUAGCUUUGGCCUAUAUGCUGCCUAAUUAAACUUGAAAAUUAGAGAGAAACAAGAAAACUAGGAGAAAUGCAUAGAUUUAAUUAGAGAGGAAGUGCAAUCAAGUAUUUGUUUACUUUUUAUUUAAGCAAGACAGUUUGUUGAACAUCUUCUGUUUUUAGAUUUUUGGACUCAAGAGCAACUCAGAAGUUUGAACAAAUGCUGCUAUGAUAAUAUUGCUGAAACAUAUGAGUGAUUUUACAGGGUAUAAUGGCAGAAGGUAUCAAAUCGAAGAUGUUAUGGCUUUUCUUCAUGGGAUGCAUGGUCGACCUACUUUCAUAUGGAAGUUGUUGUUGGUUCGAUGAACAAAGACUUGGUGUGUUCCAUAGUGUUUUGUAUAGUGACUAGACAUGAGUCUCUUAUGAACUUAGCCCGUAUUUUGUAACAUGUCACAGCUUAUAUGUCGACCUAUGUAUUUCCUUAGUGGUUGUAGCUAACUUGAGUGAAGAAAACUAAUGAAUCUUCUAUAUGUUGAAUAUAUAUGUAUUUAUCAAUGGUAUCUUGUGAUGAAUACAAGAGUAUAAUUGUUUAUAUAUGUAUUGGGUAUUGAACAUGAAUUGAACAUUAUGAAUGUAAUUUCAUUCAAAUAAUGGUGCAUUUGCAUUU